ACGAGAUUUUAAGGUAUUUUUGUAUGUUUAUAAUGCUUUUCUGUUUUCAGUAUCUAAAUAUAAUGCAGAAUUGCCCAGCAGAAUAACAGCACUGAGCGGCUCUUGUGUGCAGAUACCUUGUAAAUUUAAAGUGUUGAACAUGAGUUUAAAAAACACAGAAAGUAUAUUUGGCUUCUGGAUGAAGACGGACCAUUCUUUUAGAAAACCAGAGAAUUUGGUUUUUAAUGGAAGUUCAAAUAUCACCAAAGAAUUUAGUCAUAUAGAGAUACUUGGAAAUCUUAGUCAGCGUGAAUGUAGCACUGUUUUCUAUGAUAUCAUGAACAAUCAUUCAGACAAGUACUACUUCAGGGUGGAAAUAAAGCCAUCUGUCAUGAUCACCAGUGAGAAUGCCCAUCAUUGCCACCAGAGGGCAGUCCAUCCUGGACAACACACAUCAUUUGGACUCCAUUUCCCAUCUACCCUCAUACCCUGGACUGAUCACCCUGCACCUGCUACCCAUUAUACACUCACUCACACAUAAAAGACACUUGCACCCACACCUCCAUGCGAAGUCUUGUUUAGCACUGUCUGACAUUUCUGAGCAUUUCCCCUGGAGUCUGUAUUCUUGUGUUUGCCCUUGGACUGUUACUCGUUUCCGAUUCUCUGCUGCCUGCCUUGUCCCUUGCCUGUUCCUGGAUUAUGUAUGUUUGCUGCCUGCCCUGAUCUCUGCCUGCCUUUGGAAUCUGAUUGUUUGCUGCCUACCCAGAUUACUGCCUGUCACUAUUUCUGCCACUGGCUCAUCCUUACUAUUAUUGUGUCUGUCAACUUAAAUUCAAUAAAUGCUGCAGAUGGAUCCUCACUCCGUUGACCCAAUCAUUACACCAUCGGAUUGGAACUACACAUAUAGUGAAAACCCCAUCAACAUUUCUGUCUCAGAUUCACCACAACCUCCCAUCCUGAAACCCACUGAUCUGAAAAAAGCGAUGGAGGAAACGACAGUUAAUCUGAACUGCUCUGCUGAAGCCCCCUUGCCCCAAACAACCUCCUACAAUAUCCUGGUCCAACAUCCCUGAAUCUGCCCACAUUACAACACAGUUACAGGAGAAACCUGAUAAAACCCAGUCAGUGUUUUCACACAUGACCUUCAAAGCUUCAUACAUGGAUCACAGAAUGAACAUCUCCUGCACUGUUACAUAUCCAAGAAAUACAUCUAAUGACUCAACUGUGGAGACCACUGUGAUGCUACGAGUCCUGUUCUCUGUUGGCACUAAUGUGACUUUGACCUGCAAAAGCAAAGCCAGUCCAUCAAAUAACAUUAACUACACCUGAUACAAACGUGGACCGGAGAAUCAGCUGGAUUUUGGAGAACAACUGACCUUUACUGUAAAUAGGAGGAGUGGAGGCUGGUACUUUGUACUUUUGCUGAUUGUAGCAGAAUCAUCUGUGCCUUUGAUCGCAGGCUGUGUAGGAGGAAUUUCAGCUUUACUGUUGUUAUUUCUUCUGGAAACAUUUUUAAAAAGGUAUGCAAAGACUAAAUAUGAUGUUGCACAAAUGUUCAUGUUUGUGAUUUAUGAAUUUCCUGUCGAUACAGGGUGCAAAAGCAUCCAGUGAAUCCAUUGUUAGGGAAACUGAUCAGGUAACUCUAUACUAUCCGUAUUGAGAAAUUGACUUUUCCACCAACUGCACCAUUUGAAAUGCCAAAGACUGUCCACUAUUACUCUACAUCAGAAUAAUAAACAUAUGAUUUAACAGAAAAUGUCCUCUGCUUGGAUAAUAUACAGAUGUGUUGUGAACAACAUAACAACUUUGUCUUUUGUCUCUGGUUAGAAAACAAGUAACACUUUACAGUAAGGUCCCAUUAGUUAAGAUUAGUUAACUAACAAUCAAGAUAGGCACAUUGUUACAGUAUUUAUUAAUCUUUAUUAACAUUAGUUGAUAAAAAUACAACUGUUCAUUGUUAGAUCAUU